rnacentral:rRNA from 1 species
CAGUAGCCGCGGUAAUACGUAGGGUGCAAGCGUUAAUCGGAUUUACUGGGCGUAAAGCGUGCGUAGGCGGCUUUUUAAGUCGGAUGUGAAAUCCCUGAGCUUAACUUAGGAAUUGCAUUCGAUACUGGGAAGCUAGAGUAUGGGAGAGGAUGGUAGAAUUCCAGGUGUAGCGGUGAAAUGCGUAGAGAUCUGGAGGAAUACCGAUGGCGAAGGCAGCCAUCUGGCCUAAUACUGACGCUGAGGUACAAAAGCAUGGGGAGCAAACAGGAUUAGAUACCCCAGUAGUCCCUGUCUCUUAUAC